CACCCCUGCAAUGGGCAAAGAGACGCCUUGUUGGUGCUGGUGUUCUUACGUCAGUCAGGGGCAGAGCAGAUGGCAGUCCUUUGUUCAUUCUAGCUUGAUGCCUGGCCUGGUGGCCAAGCCUGUUUAUGCCUAGGACACAUAA